rnacentral:misc_RNA from 1 species
GAAAUGCGAUAAUCAAUGUGAAUUGCAGAAGUCAGUGAAUCAUCGAGUCUUUGAACGCACAUUGCGCCCCCUGGUAUUCCGGGGGGCAUGCCUGUCCGAGCGUCAUUGCUGCCCUCAAGCACGGCUUGUGUGUUGGGCUUCCGUCCCUGGCAACGGGGACGGGCCCAAAAGGCAGUGGCGGCACCAUGUCUGGUCCUCGAGCGUAUGGGGCUUUGUCACCCGCUCCCGUAGGUCCAGCUGGCAGCUAGCCUCGCAACCAAUCUUUUUAACCAGGUUGACCUCGGAUCAGGUAGGGAUACCCGCUGAACUUAAGC